GUGGGUCUGUGCACGGGGGCUGUGCGGGAUGCAGUACCAAUACGCAGGACAGGCAAGGACUGAACCAGCAGGAUGGUCGAGGGAUAGCCGAGGUCAAAGGAUGCCAGAGGACAGGAACAACGAGGAGUAGCCGAAGUCAAGGGGUGCCAGAAGUCAGAAUAAACGAGUCAGGAAGCCGGGGUCAAUAAUGCGAAGCGAUGAAACAGGAACACUGGAAC